rnacentral:lncRNA from 1 species
AAAGUUAUUAGCAAACUCAAAACCAAAAAUAAACAAGGCAUUGAGGUGCUGUCUGCCGACCCUUUCCCCUUAACGUCUCCCAAAUUCAGAUUUAAGAAACGGUUCAAGACUUGUAAAGGGAACGGCCUCCUAAACACUACUCAAAUUGCAAGAAGCAUGUAUUCAAGUCAAAGGCAAAGUUCUUUUGGAGGUUAUCUAGCUUGAAACUUAAAUAACCGAAUUGGUUGGAGCGAUCGUGGACACUAUUAAGUUUGGGAAAAAUUCUGCUUCGGAAAACAAAAGUAAAUCAUAAUAAAAUAAAGCUGCAGAGAUAGCACUAGGUAGUGGACAUAAGUGCGGCUUCUCCUAUUACUUUCUGGUUUUGUAAAUUGAGAAGUUGUUUUGAGAGCAAAUAUAAUAUCUCGCUGUUUUCUUUUUC